rnacentral:tRNA from 3 species
GGGCGAUUAGCUCAGCUGGUAGAGCAGGAGACUCUUAAUCUCAAGGUCGUAGGUUCGAGCCCUACAUCGCCCA